AGUGAACGCUGGCGGUAGGCCUAACACAUGCAAGUCGAACGGCAGCACAGUAAGAGCUUGCUCUUACGGGUGGCGAGUGGCGGACGGGUGAGGAAUACAUCGGAAUCUACUUUUUCGUGGGGGAUAACGUAGGGAAACUUACGCUAAUACCGCAUACGACCUACGGGUGAAAGCAGGGGAUCUUCGGACCUUGCGCGAUUGAAUGAGCCGAUGUCGGAUUAGCUAGUUGGCGGGGUAAAGGCCCACCAAGGCGACGAUCCGUAGCUGGUCUGAGAGGAUGAUCGGCCCCACUGGACCUGGGAACCGGUCCAGACUCCUACGGGAGGCAGCAGUGGGAAAUAUUGGCCAAUGGGCGCAAGCCUGAUCCAGCCAUACCGCGUGGGUGAAGAAGGCCUUCGGGUUGUAAAGCCCUUUUGUUGGGAAAGAAAAGCAGCAGGUUAAUACCCCGCUGUUCUGACGGUACCCAAAGAAUAAGCACCGGCUACCUUCGU
rnacentral:rRNA from 1 species